GAUGAACGCUAGCGGCAGGCCUAAUACAUGCAGGUCGGACGGGAUUCAGGAGCUUGCUUCUGAUGAGAGUGGCGCACGGGUGCGUAACACGUAUGUAACCUACCUUUAUCAGGGGGAUAGCCUCUCGAAAGAGAGAUUAAGCCCGCAUAAAAUCACAGCACAGCAUUGUGUAAUGAUCAAAUAUUUAUAGGAUAAAGAUGGGCAUGCGGAACAUUAGCUAGAUGGCGGGGUAACGGCCCACCAUGGCGACGAUGUUUAGGGGAUCUGAGAGGAUGGCCCCCCACACUGGUACUGAGACACGGACCAGACUCCUACGGGAGGCAGCAGUAAGGAAUAUUGGUCAAUGGGCGGAAGCCUGAACCAGCCAUGCCGCGUGCAGGAAGACGGCCCUACGGGUUGUAACCUGCUUUUAUACGGGAAUAAACCCAGAUACGUGUAUCUGGCUGAAUGUACUGUAAGAAUAAGGAUCGGCUAACUCCGUG
rnacentral:rRNA from 1 species